UUCCACUUCUUAACAGAUGCCUUUUUAUCUCUCACUGCUUCUUUUACAUAGUUGUUAAGCCACGGUGGCUCUUUUUUAGUUCUUUUACUGUGUUUUUUAAUUUGGGGUAUACAUUUAAGUUGCGCCUCGAUUAUGGUGUCCUUGAAAAGCGUCCAUGCAGCUUGCAGGGAUUUCAUUCUAGUCACUGUACCUUUUAAUUUCUGUUUAACUAACUUCCUCAUUUUUGCAUAGUUCCUGAUUUGAGUUCAGGG